UAGAGUUUGAUCCUGGCUCAGAUUGAACGCUGGCGGCAUGCCUUACACAUGCAAGUCGGACGGCAGCACGGGAGCUUGCUCCUGGUGGCGAGUGGCGAACGGGUGAGUAAUAUAUCGGAACGUGCCCUAGAGUGGGGGAUAACUAGUCGAAAGAUUAGCUAAUACCGCAUACGAUCUACGGAUGAAAGUGGGGGAUCGCAAGACCUCAUGCUCAUGGAGCGGCCGAUAUCUGAUUAGCUAGUUGGUGGGGUAAAAGCUCACCAAGGCGACGAUCAGUAGCUGGUCUGAGAGGACGACCAGCCACACUGGAACUGAGACACGGUCCAGACUCCUACGGGAGGCAGCAGUGGGGAAUUUUGGACAAUGGGCGCAAGCCUGAUCCAGCAAUGCCGCGUGAGUGAAGAAGGCCUUCGGGUUGUAAAGCUCUUUUGUCAGGGAAGAAACGGGUGAGGUUAAUACCUUUGCCUAAUGACGGUACCUGAAGAAUAAGCACCGGCUAACUACGUGCCAGCAGCCGCGGUAAUACGUAGGGUGCAAGCGUUAAUCGGAAUUACUGGGCGUAAAGCGUGCGCAGGCGGUUAUACAAGACAGAUGUGAAAUCCCCGGGCUCAACCUGGGAAUUGCAUUUGUGACUGUAUGGCUAGAGUGUGUCAGAGGGGGGUAGAAUUCCACGUGUAGCAGUGAAAUGCGUAGAUAUGUGGAGGAAUACCGAUGGCGAAGGCAGCCCCCUGGGAUAACACGACGCUCAGCAGAAAGCUGGAGAUUACAUG
rnacentral:rRNA from 1 species